AUUGAACGCUGGCGGCAUGCCUUACACAUGCAAGUCGAACGGCAGCAUGGAGAGCUUGCUCUCUGAUGGCGAGUGGCGAACGGGUGAGUAAUGCAUCGGAACGUACCGUGUAAUGGGGGAUAACGUAGCGAAAGUUACGCUAAUACCGCAUAAGACCUGAGGGUGAAAGCAGGGGAUCGCAAGACCUUGCGUUAUACGAGCGGCCGAUGUCAGAUUAGCUAGUUGGGAAGGUAAAGGCUCACCAAGGCGACGAUCUGUAGCGGGUCGGAGAGGAUGAUCCGCCCCACUGGGACUGAGACACGGCCCAGACUCCUACGGGAGGCAGCAGUGGGGAAUUUUGGACAAUGGGGGCAACCCUGAUCCAGCCAUGCCACGUGAGUGAAGAAGGCCUUCGGGUUGUAAAGCUCUUUCGGCCGGGAAGAAAUCGCACAGGCUAAUACUCUGUGUGGAUGACGGUACCGGCAUAAGAAGCACCGGCUAACUACAUGCCAGCCGCCGCGGUAA
rnacentral:rRNA from 1 species